UAUUAUUGUCUUACUUGACUACUGUUUGAUUUUGGGAAUCUAAGAUAUGAUUGCAUUGUUGGAUGCAUGUUACUUGUUUAUGUAUUUAUGUUUGAUUUGGUGAUGGAGACUAAGGAUAAACAGGAAUGGGAUGUGAUAUGAUAAAUGGAUAAGGUGACAGCCUCACUAAAUAUCAUGAAAGAUGAUGGACGGACCAGGUUCAUAAGAAACACUAUCGUGAACGUUGGCUCAUACCGGACGGAGGUAUGGGG
rnacentral:lncRNA from 1 species